UACGUAGGGUGCGAGCGUUAAUCGGAAUUACUGGGCGUAAAGUGUGCGCAGGCGGCCAUGCAAGUCGAGUGUGAAAGCCCCGGGCUUAACUUGGGAAUUGCGCUCGAAACUACGUGGCUGGAGUGUGGCAGAGGAAGGUGGAAUUCCACGUGUAGCGGUGGAAUGCGUAGAGAUCCGGAAGAACACCGGUGGCGAAGGCGGCCUGCUGGGCAGUGGGGGCAACCCCUGGAAGCUGACACUGAGGCGCGACAGCGUGGGGAGCAAACAGG
rnacentral:rRNA from 1 species